GACGAACCGUGCGAACGUUGUUCGGAAUCACUGGGCGUAAAGGGCGCGUAGGUGGUGGCUUAAGCGUGCGGUGAAAGCUCGGGGCUCAACUCCGAGUCGGCCGUGCGAACUGGGCUCACUGGAGCAUAGUAGAGGCAGGUGGAAUUCCGGGUGUAGCGGUGGAAUGCGUAGAGAUCCGGAAGAACACCGGUGGCGAAGGCGGCCUGCUGGGCUAUGGCUGACACUGAGGCGCGACAGCGUGGGGAGCAAACAGG
rnacentral:rRNA from 1 species